rnacentral:rRNA from 1 species
CACGUAGGGCGCAAGCGUUGUCCGGAAUUACUGGGCGUAAAGCGUGCGCAGGCGGUUGUGUAAGUCUGUCGUGAAAUCCCCGGGCUCAACCUGGGAAUUGCGAUGGAGACUGCACGGCUAGAGUGUGUCAGAGGGGGGUAGAAUUCCACGUGUAGCAGUGAAAUGCGUAGAUAUGUGGAGGAACACCGAUGGCGAAGGCAGCCCCCUGGGAUAACACUGACGCUCAUGCACGAAAGCGUGGGGAGCAAACAGG